ACAGUUGAAGUUGAGCUGUAGUUGAAGCAGUUAAGCGCGUUCAUCUUAGGUGAGAUGAUGUAGAGGGGAGUGGUGCGGCACCUCCUCCGUGGAGAUGAGCCGUGAGCAGUCAUCUUGGGAACAGAGAUAGAAGGGAGAGAGGUAUCACAGCUUCCUGGUGCUUUCCGUGGUACCUGCAUCCCGUUCCAGUGAAUCCGUAGCCUGGUCGUCGUGCCUGCAUCUCUAUGUGAAAGAGGUGGCGCUAAACAGGGGCAGAGCGGAGAUGGAGAGGGCAGUGCAGCCAGUUCACAGCAAAAGAGAGAAGCGAUCCAGUUGAAUAUACUCCUACAAUAAAAUUGUAAAGUUAA